rnacentral:rRNA from 1 species
AUGGAGACGCCGCUGUCCACCAGGCGGAUCACCCGCUCGCUCGCCGCCGCAUCCGCCCUUCUUGGAUUCGAUUCUUCCCCUGCAGAGAAGAGCGCCGCCGCCGCCGCCGCGGAUGUGACCUGCAGCAGAUCCAAGAAGGCCGCCGCCAAGGGAGGAGACGCUCCGCGCCCCGCGCUGCACGACAUCACCAACGACUCCCCCAUCGUUGGCCUCGCCGCCGGCGGCCUCGUCCACGCCGCCGACAGGACACCACAGGCCUCCACCGCUGGCGCCAAGAACCGCCCCAGGCCCCGCUGCACGCCCGGCUCUGGCGAGGCGCUGCUGCGCGGCCAGGUCAAGACGCUCCUGCAGAAGGUCGACGAGGAGGGCGCUGCCGCCGCCGUCAUCAGGCCGGUCCGCAUCCACGCGCUGCUCGGCGUCACCAGAUCGCCGGCACAGCUCCUCGCGCCCACGCCGUUCAACACGCCGCAGCUCUGGGCCGAGUCCGCCGCCCGUGGGGAGUCCGCGCUGCCUGAUGGCCGGACCGUGCUGCCCUGCGUCCUGGAGCAGGAGGAACUGAUUCCUAAGCUGCAGGCCAUUGCUGAUCCCCCGCCCAACCGUGCGCUGGUGUUCGACGACUCCCCAGGGAAAUCGGACCAGUCCACCGAUGGAUCAUCCCUGACAUUCCACGUGAGCAGCAGCGACAGAUCAGCUGACGACGACAGCUCGUCGGUUUGGUCCAUCCAGGUCAAUGUCAGCUCCGAGGAGAAGGAGGAGAUGGGUGUUGACACCAUGGGAGAGCUGGAAGAAGAGUACAAUACCGAGGAGGAGCCGGAAGGAGAGUACUACACCGAGGAGGGGGACUGGGAAGACGGUGAUGAUGAUAGCGAGUGCUUUGAUGAUCUGUGCGAGGGGAUGAGCAAGAUGUCGGUGUUGGAGGCGGAGGAGAAGAAGAAGGUUGGGCUGCCGGCGUUCGAGGGCAGGCACACCCGGUUCGUCUACAACAGCGACGACGAGAUCGUGGAGAGGAAGGAGGUGGAGAACGCGGCAGCGGAGCACGGCGCACUGCUGAGGGGCCUGCCGGUGCCGGAGGGGAAGCAUCUCCGGUUCCACGACGAUGAUGACGAGGAGGAGUAA